ACAAGUCCCAAAUUAAACCCUGGGCAGACAUGUCAAGCCAGCUAGAGCGAAACCGAUGAGACGAGCAAUUAAAACCUGAAUAACCUGAAAAACGAAACACAGCAAAAAAAGUGGGUUCUGUAAAACAAAACCAAAAAAAGGUUGGGUUUCCUUUAAUUGGUCGACAGGGGGGUGGCGACGGCGACACAUGCUAAAGAGACAGAUUUUUCUUAUUUAAUAUUAAUUAAAUGUAAUAGUUUUUGCCAAUAGUAGCGCUCUCAUACUGUUGCCAUGGGUUGCGUUUACGCCAUUUUCGGACCUGUUAUAUUCAAAUUUUAAUCUUAAACUCUAGUCAUUUUGUAUAUAUAUCACUGAGUGUCAUUUGUUUUAUUUUAGAACAGUACGGCUGGCGUUUCAUGAAGUCUGUAGUGUGUGGAAAUCAGCUUGUUGUGAGGCAAGGUUUUUUAGCGAGUUUUUCGGUACGAAAAUCCCGCCUGUGGCCAGAAAAUACGCACGUGAAAGUUCCAGAAACUCUCGCCGUUUUCUCCAUGCGCAGGUAAAAAUAAGGAAAACUGCCCCCAUGUACAAAAUGUUGCUUUCAGGGCUGUUUCUAGUUAAGCCUGCAUGUCUUGCGUGGACUGUUAAAUGCAAAAAACUGAAAGUCUGCUUGGGUAUUUGAUGGACAUUUCAAGGUGGUUAAGCUGAAAGGCUAAAUCGUUAACGUUACCGAAAAAUGUCCCAAGUUCCCUAUGUAGUGAAUUGAUCAGAUAAGAUAAGCCUUAAUAAAAUUUCCCACAAUUGGGAAAUUUGCAUUGUUGCAGCAGCAAAAUGGACAAUCAAAGAAGAGUAAAUGCAGCACAACCUGUAAGCUAUAUAGCAACUAUUCAUUAUUCAGUAUAUAUGUGAAUAUAUACAAAAGUGUAUAUGUAAAGACGCCUGGUAGCAGCAACAUAUUAUUUAUGACCGUUACUUGCUGCUUCAUUAGUUUAGUUAAUACUAGUCAGCCAAGCGACAUUACAUGCAACACAAAACCUUUCAUCUGUUUGCCAAGUCAAAGUAUUAUUUUAUAUAGAUUGUCUGGUUUUACUUUUCAUUUUCUGUAGGAAGCCAUUACUGGCCAAGAUGACGAUCGAUGAUAGAUAAAAGCCGGAAUCGACUCUUUAGCCAAAGAUGACUGUGGCAACAGCGCUUUCUGAUCCGCCAUACAUCAAAGACACUGAUUAAUACGAAAUAAAAAAUUUAAGGACGGCAGUAGAAAAAAAAUAGGAAAUAAAUAGGAAUUUCCAUUAUGCAAUCCAUCUUUUGUGUUUAUAAUCUAGUAUAAGUUUUUCCAGUGUAAAGAAAGUUUCAUUGUGAUUAUGAGUAGAUCAGACUGGAACAAAAUGGACUUAACUUCCCUGGUGUUUCAUCAUUAAGUGGUUUGUCGGCCCCUGUGACUUACGUCGCAGCUUUCGCUAAAAGGGAAGGAACAAGAAGUCUUCAUAUAGCACUAAAUCACUGGACAGUGCUUCACAUUUCCACACACCCCUGAACCGGUUGCAUUACGUCCUCUCACUUGUUUAGUUCAACUUAGAGGGGAAAAACAUUUGUCUACAGAAAUAGAUCUUAAGGCCUCUGUGGAAGUGAAGUGUUGCGAAUACCUUGGCGUACAGCAUGACGAGAGAACGUCACUGCCGGAGUUUCUGUGUUUUGAAGAAGGAUAAACAAUCGGGUCAGACGAGAUGGCUGUGGGCCGCCUUUCCCUAAAAGACAUGGCUGCCGCGCCAGCGCUGAAGCAGUCCGCAGGAGCGCGUCUGUGAUGGCGGCAGGAUUGCAGCUCGGCGGCCAGACCGAGCCCAGCUUGAGGGUGCUGAGGCAGUGCAGGGUCGUGCUUGUAGACCAGCUGGAGGAGCACAUCGGGUCCCUGCUGGAGCAGCUGCUGCUGAGGGACGUUUUCACCCGGGACGACCGGGAGGAAGUCCUGUGUGAGGGGGGACCUCGGGCCCAGGUCCGAAAAACGCUGGACAUUGUGGACUGCAAGGGGGAGGAGGCCGCAGCAGAGUUUCGCCUUCUGUGCAGCCGCCUGAAGGAGCCUGGACCAGUGAAGCAGCAACAACCAGAUAACUACAGUAAACUGAUACAAAGGCACAAACAGACCCUCAAACGGAGAAGUGAAUAUAUGCUUUACUACAACACUCGCCAUGGUGAGAAAAUCCUCUUCUCUGAACACUACAUCAAUCUCUUGCUUAUGAAAGGACAUCGCAGCCUUGAGCUCAAAAAGCAUGAAAUUGUAGCUUUUGGACAACAGCGCAUUUCCCUGCAGUGUCACGCAUUUGAACAGAAAGUGAUUAAAUCGACAGACCUGUUUUCGGAUACAGCUGGAAGCCGACCAGCCAAGAAGAUUCUUGUAACGGGUGUAGCAGGUAUUGGUAAAACGGUUCUGGUCCAGAAGAUUCUGAGUGAUUUUGGAAACAACCAGGCGCAUUUGGGCUUUGACUUUGUUAUCCACCUGACCUUCAGGGACCUAAAUUUAAUCAAACAGCCAAUCAGCCUUCGGGAACUUCUUCUACAAAAAAAUGGCCAUCUUGCCAAGGAGAUGGACACCAUCCUGUCCAAUGAAGACAAGCUGCUGAUCGUGUUGGAUGGGUUUGACGAGUUCAGGCAUUACAGAGAGUGUGAGGUUGAGGAGUUUGUGACAGAGCCUGAUGAGAAGGAAGAGGUGGUGAAGGUGCUGUCCAGUCUGAUGCAGAGUGAGCUCCUUCCAGAGGCGUCUGUGCUGCUCACAAGUCGACCUACUGCCAUUAGCCACAUACCUAUUGGCUGUAUCGACUACUUUGUGCUCCUUACUGGCUUCUCCAUGGCAGAAAUUGAAGACUUUUUCCUCCGAUACUUUGAAGAACAAACUCUUGCCCUGAAGAUGUUCAAUUUUGUAAAAGCUAACAAUCCACUGCUGACCCUGUGCUAUAUACCUGCAUUCUGCUACAUUGUGUGCACCGUUUUGAAUGACAGUGAUGGCUUCUCUAGCGGGACGCCAAAAACCAUGACCGACGUCUACACGCAGUACUUGGUGGCCCUGCUGCGGUCACACUCUCGGCCCAGGUUGGGGUUACCCCACGCUAAUGCUGAGAGGUCAGAACAACUGUCUGAGACGAUUUCCAGCUUGGGCAGGAUAGCCUAUGUCAAACUUCUGAGUCACGAGACCCUCUUCUACGGUCACAGUGCUGAGAUCCAGCAGCUGGCAAACAGUGAUUUGAUCAGUGCGUUUUUGGAUAAGACAUUAGCUCAAGAGCCUGGUUGCAUGGAAGACGUGUACUCAUUUGCACAUUUCACCAUCCAGGAAUUUUUCGCAGCUCUCUACUACACCCUGGGAGAUCAACUCUCAAUGGACGUCCUUGACCCCAGUACUGACAUUGGUCAAGAGAUGAGCUUUGGGUAUCUUGACCUGUUCAAGAGGUUCCUCUCAGGGCUGCUUGCCGAGCGUAACUGGAACCUCCUCUCGCGAUACCUGCUGCUGGAGAGGAGUCAAAAAGCAGAGGCCUAUCUGCCUGGUUUGCUGACAGAGAUUGAGAACUUCUGUGAAAAUGGGAGCCACAUACUAAAUCAGCUCCACUGUUUCUUUGAACAGCAAAAUGACUCCCUGGCCAAGCAGAUCCACGCCAAGGUGCUGCGUGUGAAUAUUAGCAACAACACCCUGUGCCCAAUGGAUUAUACUGUGUUAAAGUACUUUUUGAACCUCAUGGAUGGUGAGAUAUCUGAACUGGAUCUGACAGCAACCAAUAUCACCUCAGAGUCUCUGAGGGACUUAAAGCCAUACCUGCUUAGGUGUGAGAACCUCUGGAUUGGGGAAAAUAAUCUUGACACUGAAGCAGUCCAUGUGCUUGCUGAGAUUUUGCAGUCAACAAGCAAGCUACUGAUCCUAGGCAUUGGCUGGACUCACAUUACAGAUGACAAAAUGCUGAUUCUAACUCAAGCUAUGAAAACAAAUCAAACCAUGACAGAGAUAUGGAUGGAAGGAAACCAAGUGACAUAUCAAGGCCUGUCUCCAUUUACUGAUCCCAACUCAUUCACCUCUCUAGAUAAAGUUGUCGCCAUUUGGAAUAACAUCAGUCAAGAGGAAACGGACACCCUCAACAGCACCUUUGGCGACUCACGGUGGAAAUACACUGGGUGAAGGCAUUCUGCAAGAAACUGAAUCAACUGAUCAAGACGAGGAUAGAGGAUAGUGCCGACGACGACGAACGACGAAAGACUGAAUGGCCGAUAUAUUCAAAUCUUCAAUUUCCAGUCUACUAACUUUU